rnacentral:rRNA from 1 species
ACACGGACCAAGGAGUGCAAGAGGCGUGCGAGUCUUUGGGUGUUGUCUAAACCCGAUGACGCAAUGAAGGUGAAGGGAGGUCGCCCUCCCGAGGCGAGAGCUGGUCGUUUGUCCGGCCCAUCGUCGACCGAUCCCAGUUCCACGCCGUGGCGGGAUUCGAGUUAGAGCGUGUCUGUUGCGACCCGAAAGAUGGUGAACUAUGCCUGAAUAGGGCGAAGCCAGAGGAAACUCUGGUGGAAGCUCGCAGCGGUUCUGACGUGCAAAUCGAUCGUCAAAUUUGGGUAUAGGGGCGAAAGACCAAUCGAACCAUCUAGUAGCUGGUUCCCUCCGAAGUUUCCCCCAGGAUAGCUGGAGCCCGGUGCAGUUUUAUCAGGUAAAGCGAAUGAUUAGAGGUCUUGGGGUUGAAACAACCUCAACCUAUUCUCAAACUUUAAAUGGGUAAGAUGCUCGGCUUGCUCGGUUGAAGUCGUGCGAGGAAUGCCGGGGCUCCCAGUGGGCCAUUUUUGGUAAGCAGAACUGGCGAUGCGGGAUGAACCGAACGCCGGGUUAAGGUGCCCGAGUCGACGCUCAUCAGAUCCCAUGAAAGGUGUUGGUUGAUCUAGACAGCAGGACGGUGGCCAUGGAAGUCGGAACCCGCUAAGGAGUGUGUAACAACU